CCUACGGGUGGCAGCAGUGGGGAAUAUUGGGCAAUGGAGGCAACUCUGACCCAGCAACGCCGCGUGAAUGAUGAAGGUCUUCGGAUUGUAAAGUUCUGUGAUGGGGGAUGAACACAAUGACGGUACCCCAAUAGCAAGCCACGGCUAACUACGUGCCAGCAGCCGCGGUAAUACGUAGGUGGCAAGCGUUAUCGGGAAUGACUGGGCGUAAAGGGUGCGUAGGUGGUUGAGUAAGGUGGAGGUGUAAUUCCGGGCUCAACCUCGGCGCUACCGCCAAAACUAGUAGACUAGAGUGCAGGGGGGGUAGGUGGAAUUCGUAGUGUAGCGGUGGAAUGCGUAGAUAUGAGGAGGAACAUCGGGUGCGAAGGCGACUUACUGGACUGUAACUGACACUGAGGCACGAAAGCGUGGGGAGCAAACAGGAUUAGAUACCCUUGUAGUC
rnacentral:rRNA from 1 species